UAUCCUGCCGGAGAUGCAAAGCGCGGAUCGCAUUGGGAGAAAGAAUCGCUGUUUUUCAGAUCCGGGCGGCUCGAUUCUCCAGUUUAGGAGCCCGAAGUCGGGAGCAUUUCGCUCGACUGAACGGUGGCUGCUCGGCCUCGCAUGGAAAACUAAGACAAUUUGACAAUAGCGACAUUUUUUUUUUUAAAUGGCCGUCGCUCUGAGUCUGCACCUUCACUUACUUUAUUUUGUGUUUUUUUAAUUUAUUGUUAUGCAAGGAUUUAACAUACCAAAAAGAUGAUUCGGAGCUCCGUGUUCGGCAGGGGAAGCGGCCAACGACCGGCUGAAUGCAAUACAUAGAGCUGAAGGAUAUAUUUUAUGGGUUGCAUUUGAUUCUGCCGGCCUGGCCCUCUUCGGAUUUCGGAUUACUCAACGUUUGUCGGAAUGGAAGGACGGGAUUUCGCCUCGCCGGCGCACCUUUUAUCGGAGCGGGGCGCCCUGGUGCACCGGGCCGCCUCUCGGAUCGCUCCCUCCGGCCACGGCUCGGUGCAGCACGCCGGCCACUUCCAGCCGGGGAAAUAUUAUCCUUCGCACAUACCGAUGGCUCCUCACUCAGGUUUGUAAAAAAAUCCCCUACUUUCAUGUAACAAAGACCAACCUUCCUGGUGACCAGUCCUAUAUUUCCCAUUUUUAAUCAAAUGGAAUAUUCCCAUUUAUAUUUCGACUAAGUGGCCCACACGCUACAGGGCUGAUUGCACCACAGUAUACCAGUUUUCUUUUCCAUUUCACAAAUAUAUGCUUUCGACCAAAAUAUUUGCCCCGAACAAACGGAAAAAGAAGAUUAUGUGUGUUUGGAUAAUUGCUGCUACGUGUUUAGGGUUUUAGACGGUUUGGCAAAGGCUGCGUGGAGCUGUAUUCCCAACUGGUCGAACAGAAGGACGCACGACGCAUGGGCACUCGCAGCACAGUGGCUUCGGUGCUGUGCGUCCAACGAGAUUUGCCACUUCAUAUUAAAUUCAUGACCGUCACGUUGGCACCCAUGGUUGUUUUUCCAUAACCUGGCCAUAUUAUUCCAGUGCCUUCCUUGCAGUGCAGGUGAAUUGACUGGGACAUCACGAGGUUUAAUUAAACGCCCCCCCCGGGGCUGUGUGUUUUUAAUACUACAAUAUCUACCUUCUAUAUUGGGCACUAAAGUGUCGGGGUGCAAAUGGGUUCACGGUGCAUGCGUGAGGUUUAACGGGUGACUCGGGUGUCUUGUGUGUAGUUGCCGCAUGCAAAUGUUGGAAGGCAGGGGCGGCAGGUCCGUGGUGGGCUGCAGCAUCAGGGCCCAGUGGGCUGAAGCAUUGUCCCUCUUGGUCAUUUCCCGGAAAUCGGUCGUAAAUAAGGGGUUAACCUUGCUAGCCAUGUGAGCUUGUAAUAUGCGUUUAAUUGGAUAUUAUUGCUUUAGAAUGACAACAUGGAAAAAAUAAUAUAUAGAGGUAUAUGUUCCCAUCCCAUCUUUUGUGCGGUCAGUGCAGAGGUCUACAGGAAACGCAUCAUAUUUUGAACCGAUAAAACCGUAGCCUAAUUACUGAUUUAUAAUUGACGUGAAGGAGGCACAAUUGUUUUUUAAUAUCCAUUGCUUUACCCAUUCCAAUUAACAUAUUUUAUAUAUGUAUUUAUGUGUUUUUACAUAUUAAUCUGUUGGAAAUAGAGGAUUGAAUGUGUGUGUAAAUGUGAGUUGAAUGCGGGAAACAUAUAAUUCAGUUAAACAUUAGACAUAUUAGGACUAUUCUGUUCAAAUAUUAACAUAAUGACUGUAACACACACACACACACACACACACACACACACACACACACACACACACACACACACACACACACACACACACACACACACACACACACACACACACACACACUUAUGUAAAGCCAAUAAAUACAAAUAGACAAAUGCCCCAGCAUAGCCCUAGUGCAGGCCUAUGUCCUAAUAGAUAUUUUGAUGGCAGUAUUAAGGCUGAUGCUAGCCACAGGCUAAAGGCACUUUGUUAAUCAGACCUGGCAUGUCUUUUGUCACAAUACUCUGCUGCUUACGAUACAGCACCAUGCAGACCUUUCGCCCAAAAUGUCAUCACUGCUCCGAGAACAACACAGGUCUCUCUAUUCCCCGUCCCUCUAUUGUUCCCUCUCCCUCUCCCUCUCUCUCCAUCUUGCUCUCUCUCCCUCUCGCUCCUCCUCGCUCUCUGCCUUCAUGACAUCACAAUGGAAGGAUUCACUGUUUUACUUUACAGAAGCUAAAUCACUUCCACCGAAUUGACUUCAAAUGUGAACUCAGUUCUUCAUAUCGUUCCUGUAAUCAUACAACUGCCUCGUGGCGAUGGUUGGGUGUGUGAUUGAGUAACUAAGAUUAUUAAAAUUGAAAUAUGAAUUAUUU